rnacentral:rRNA from 1 species
GAUGAACGCUGGCGGCGUGCCUAAUACAUGCAAGUCGAGCGAACAGACGAGGAGCUUGCUCCUCUGACGUUAGCGGCGGACGGGUGAGUAACACGUGGAUAACCUACCUAUAAGACUGGGAUAACUUCGGGAAACCGGAGCUAAUACCGGAUAAUAUAUUGAACCGCAUGGUUCAAUAGUGAAAGACGGUUUUGCUGUCACUUAUAGAUGGAUCCGCGCCGCAUUAGCUAGUUGGUAAGGUAACGGCUUACCAAGGCAACGAUGCGUAGCCGACCUGAGAGGGGGAUCGGCCACACUGGAACUGAGACACGGUCCAGACUCCUACGGGAGGCAGCAGUAGGGAAUCUUCCGCAAUGGGCGAAAGCCUGACGGAGCAACGCCGCGUGAGUGAUGAAGGUCUUCGGAUCGUAAAACUCUGUUAUUGGGAAGAACAAAUGUGUAAGUAACUAUGCACGUCUUGACGGUACCUAAUCAGAAAGCCACGGCUAACUACGUG